GUCAAAAUAACAGAGGUCAAGGUCGGCCAGUGAGACGAUGGGGGAUAAACUUCAUCGUUGAGAGGGAAACAACCCAGAUCACCAGCUAAGUCCCC